AUGGCAAAAUUGUUUCAUCUCUUCCUUCUGACUAUAUUUUUGGUAAUCAUACCAACAUUAGUGCAUGCUAAUGCUGAUGUCAAAGAGGAAGAAUUAGGAUUUUGGGAGAUUGUAUUUCCACCGGGUGGUGGUCAUACAUAUUGGCAGAUAAGAGGAUCAAAGAAUAAAAAGGCAAACAACAAAGUUGAUACUGCAAAUCCACCUGCAAAUCCACCUGCAGUCUCCAGAAAAAUGACUCCUAACCUUAGGAAGUGA